AUGCUUCAUAUAGUUCUUUAUGAGUUUAAGUUUAGAAAACAAUCUCUCUGCAGAAGCGAUACUUACAGAGGUAAAAGCAUCUUAAUUACCGUAGCAACGUCAAGGGAACUAGUCAGAAGCGUUUGCGUUGUGUGGUUGCAAUAUCAACAGUCCCUUAUCUUUGGUAUAUCUUGGCAUGAAUCAAUCAAGACUUCAUUUAAAUAGUGUGCAGCGCAAUAGACCUAAUUCACAAUGUCUCAGGAAAGUCUGGGCUGUCAAUACUCAGUAUAGAAAACAGUCGAGGUGUAACCUGGACCUACAGGCCGUGGUGAAAACAUUUGCACACAAAAAAGGAGGACUUCAGCACCCAGGGGAGUCUCAAGUUGGAUUUAAUUGAAUUUACCUCAAUAUUGCAGCCCAUUUGUGUAGGCUGUUAGCCAGAAAAAACCCGCUGAGUUCAACAAUAAAUUACUGAAUUUAGUGUUUGAAUUUAUCCUCAAGGCCUUUUCCCUCAUUGUUAGGCUAUUUUUGUUUAUAAAUAGAAGCUAAAUACUGUAUAUAGCUAUAGACAGUAUACUGCAUAAUGAAACAAUCCCUAGUGUUUUGAGGGUGGACUGGCUAUAUUAUUUGGUUUUGCGCACAACUUUCUAUCCAAGCUGGGAGAGAGCGCAAAGACGAGUCGUGAUUACAAGCAUUUCGCUACACUCGCAUUAACAUCUGCUAACCAUGUGUAUGUGACAAAUAAAAUUUGAUUUGAUUUGAUGUAGGUUCAGAUAACCUAUAUAGAGUAGUUGUAGGCCUGUAUUCAACAACAACAAAAGCAGAUUAGUAUGCUGUUGUAUUGGGAAAAAGUACUUGACAAUCUGCAAUGUUGAAUUUCCAACUGUAAUUACUGAACAAGUAAUUAAAUUAUUACCGCCAGCCAGCAGUCAAAAAAUAGCAGCAUUGCUACACCGUGUAUAGCUUCAUGAAAUGUGAGAAAAUGAUGACCAAAUAGGCCUACCAAUAAACAAGCCUUUCAUCAAUUCGAUAGACAUGCAGCUGUAUGUGUUGCAAUUUCAUCGAAUUUCUAUACUUGUAUUAAAUUGUGUUUUUAGGAAGGGGAUGGGAAAACACCUUGUCAUUCUCUGCAAACGUCAAAGCAGGGACUCGCUCCUGUAGGCUCGUACAACAUCCUUAAGAGUACCACCCUACAUCACACAGGAAGCGGCUCGGGUCCUAAUCCAGGCCCUUGUCAUCUCCUGUCUGGACUACUGGGUAAGGGAGGGAGAGAGUCGACGGCGAGAGGAGGGUAAGGGAGGGGGACGAUGACGAGAGGAGGGGACAGCAGGGUAAGGGGGGCGACUAGAGGAGAAAAUAUGGCCGUAUUUAACUUUUUGUUUUUUGAACAUGAUUUCUAGCUGAGAUAAGUUCCUUAUGCUUCCAGAACUGUACCACUUACAAUGCCUGUUAAUGUUCAGACCGAGCGUUGCUGCUCUUAAUAAAGCUCCCCCCAACAGAAGAUGCCUUCGUCCAAUGGCUCUUAUGUGUAAUGGCAUGGCUCUUAUGUGUAAUGGCUCUGGCUCUUAUGUGUAAUGGCUCUGGCUCUUAUGUGUAAUGGCUCUGGCUCUUUUGUGUAAUGGCUCUGGCUCUUAUGUGUAAUGGCAUGGCUCUUAUGUGUAAUGGCAUGGCUCUUAUGUGUAAUGGCUCUGG
rnacentral:lncRNA from 13 species